GCUCCGGUGGCCUAGUGGUGAGAACGUCAGCCUCGGAUGUUGGGGGUCGUGGGUUCGAUCUUCGGUCGAGUCA